AAGAAUGUGAAAUAAAUCUACGCAAGUUUUAAAAAUUUUGAAAAUCCUAGUUUGGCAGAUGUGGAAAGUUAGAGGAAACCAAAAAGUAAAGUUAUACCAAGCUUCCAAAUUACCUGAUUUGUAAGAUUUUAUAAGUGUAAAUACAAAUGAAGGUAAAGGGAUAAGAAAAAUAUUUAAUUAAUCACGAGAAAUUGUAAAACUGAUUAUAUUCGACGUGAAAUAAACCAAGGAGGAAAUGGGAGUGUUAUUGGUGAGG